rnacentral:misc_RNA from 1 species
AAGUCGUAACAAGGUAACCGUAGGUGAACCUGCGGUUGGAUCAUUAACAAAAAAAUUGGAAGGCUUUUUUGGAUACUUCUCCAGAAAAGCUUUUUAAAACACCAAUUGUGAACUUGUAUUAUUGUUUCUUUUCUGUGGUAUUCUCAUAUGACUGGUUUCGCGCUAGUUUUAUGUGGAUGCCCAGAAAAAACUUUUUUAAACUUAAAGGAUUAUACCAUUUUGACCAUUAAAUAAAAGUUUGAAAUUUUUUUUAAACAUUAAAUAAAUUAAAAAAACAACUUUUGGCAACGGAUCUCUAGGCUCUU